CCUACGGGUGGCUGCAGUGGGGGAUAUUGCACAAUGGGGGAAACCCUGAUGCAGCGACGCCGCGUGGGCGAAGAAGUAUUUCUGUAUGUAAAGCUCUUUCAGCAGGGAAGAAGACAUGACGGUACCUGAGUAAGCAGCACCGGCUAAAUACGUGCCAGCAGCCGCGGUAAUACGUAUGGUGCAAGCGUUAUCCGGAGUUAAUGGGUGUAAAGGGAGCGCAGGCGGAACGGUAAGCCUGAUGUGAAAGCCCGCGGCCCAACCGCGGGACUGCAUUGGGAACUACCGGGCUGGAGGGCCGUAGAGGUAGGCGGAAUUCAUAGUGUAGCGGUGAAAUGCGUAGAGAUUAGGAGGAACACCGGUUGCGAAGGCAGCCUACUGGACGGUGACUGACGCUGAGGCUCGAAAGCGUGGGGAGCAAACAGGAUUAGAUACCCGUGUAGUC
rnacentral:rRNA from 1 species